UCCAUUAACACAUUACACACUUUACAGUAUGAACACUCUUGCCAAGCGACAUAAUUAAAGUAGAGAAGUCUGUAUGAAAAAUAAAAUGUCAGCACUUUAUUUUGGAAUUCGUUUUGUUAAUUAGCAAGUGACACUUAGCGGCUGUGACAUAGACAGAAAUAUAAAAUAACAAACCUAAUUAAUGACACGAAAAUAAUCAAUGGCUUCUAUAACAUCGUACCGGCAGGACCUAUAGUUGUGCAAUGCAUUAGUUACAAUUAAUAAUGCUUAUCGGGCAGUUUUCAAUACCAAAGAAAAACUUGGCAUUCUACAGCAACAAACGAGAUGUGGAUGGAUUAAUUUUAUAUACGAUACCGAUCGUAGACAAUUUGUUUGGGGGCUUGGCUACGGAGAUUACAUUGAAGCAAAGCAUAAAGAAUUAUUUUACGGAGAGUAUCCUUACUUUCGGCUUAUAAAUGGAAGUUUAAUUGCCUUCAAAACAUGUGGUGUAUACGUUCCUGAAAAAAGACUUCUUGAGAUGGAUAUAUGUAACCCAGAAUAUUUUCAUCAAGAUUGUAUUUUUCAUGCUAUCUGUGAGAGGCCUGAGUAUACCAGAGAAGAUCUCUAAAUAACACACAAAUCGUAACUAUAUACACUGAAUUCAAUAUAAUAAAGUGAAUUAAAAUAAGAAAAACUAAUUAAAAUUUUAAUAGCAUU